UAGCAUAUCAAUAAGCGGAGGAAAAGAAACCAACAGGGAUUGCCUUAGUAACGGCGAGUGAAGCGGCAAUAGCUCAAAUUUGAAAGCUGGCCCCUUUCGGGGUCCGCGUUGUAAUUUGUAGAGGAUGAUUCGGCGAGGGCUCCCGUCUAAGUCCCUUGGAACAGGGCGUCAUAGAGGGUGAGAAUCCCGUAUGUGAUGGGCUGCCUUAGCCAUGUGAAUCUCCUUCGACGAGUCGAGUUGUUUGGGAAUGCAGCUCUAAAUGGGAGGUAAAUUUCUUCUAAAGCUAAAUACCGGCCAGAGACCGAUAGCGCACAAGUAGAGUGAUCGAAAGAUGAAAAGCACUUUGGAAAGAGAGUUAAAAAGUACGUGAAAUUGUUGAAAGGGAAGCGCUUGCAGCCAGACUUGUCCGCAGUUGCUCAGCCUGUCUCCUGACAGGCGUACUCUUCUGCGGCCAGGCCAGCAUCAGUUCGGGCGGUCGGAUAAAGACCCGGGGAAUGUAGCUCCUCUCGGGGAGUGUUAUAGCCCUGGGUGCAAUGCGGCCAGCCUGGACUGAGGAUCUCGCUUCGGCUAGGAUGCUGGCGUAAUGGCUGUAAGCGGCCCGUCUUGAAACACGGACCAAGGAGUCUAACAUCUAUGCGAGUGUUUGGGUGUCAAACCCAUGCGCGUAAUGAAAGUGAACGGAGGUGGGAACCCUCACGGGUGCACCAUCGACCGAUCCUGAUGUCUUCGGAUGGAUUUGAGUAAGAGCAUAGCUGUUGGGACCCGAAAGAUGGUGAACUAUGCCUGAAUAGGGUGAAGCCAGAGGAAACUCUGGUGGAGGCUCGCAGCGGUUCUGACGUGCAAAUCGAUCGUCAAAUUUGGGUAUAGGGGCGAAAGACUAAUCGAACCAUCUAGUAGCUGGGUCCUGC
rnacentral:rRNA from 2 species